AGGACGACGCUGGCGGCGUGCUUAAAACAUGCAAGUCGAACGGACUUCUCAUGAAGCUUGCGAUUGAGAAGUUAGUGGCGGACGGGUGAGUAACGCGUGGGCAACCUGCCCCUGAGCCCGGGAUAACAGUUCGAAAGGACUGCUAAGACCGGAUAUACUUGCGGGGAAGCAUUUCUCUGUAAGGAAAGGGAACGCUCAGGGGAUGGGCCCGCGUCCCAUUAGCUAGUUGGUGAGGUAACGGCCCACCAAGGCGACGAUGGGUAGCCGGCCUGAGAGGGUGAACGGCCACACUGGGACUGAGACACGGCCCAGACUCCUACGGGAGGCAGCAGUUGGGAAUCUUCGGCAAUGGGCGCAAGCCUGACCGAGCAACGCCGCGUGAGUGAUGAAGGUUUUCGGAUUGUAAAGCUCUGUCUUCCGGGACGAUAAUGACGGUACCGGAGGAGGAAGCCACGGCUAACUACGUG
rnacentral:rRNA from 1 species